GUCAGGACAUAAUCUGUAGCUAGAUCUAUUGUCUAAUAUUAUGACAGGUCAGGACAUAAUCUGUAGCUAGAUCUAUAGUCUAAUAUUAUGACAGGUCAGGACAUAAUCUGUAGCUAGAUCUAUAGUCUCUCUAAUACUAUGACAGGUCAGGACAUAAUCUGUAGCUAGAUCUAUUGUCUAAUAUUAUGACAGGUCAGGUUAUAAUCUGUAGCUAGAUCUAUAGUCUAAUAUUAUGACAGGUCAGGACAUAAUCUGUAGCUAGAUCUAUUGUCCAAUACUAUGACAGGUCAGGACAUAAUCUGCAGUUAGAUCUAUAGCCUCUAAUAUUAUGACAGGUCAGGUCAUAAUCUGUAGCUAGAUCUAUUG
rnacentral:lncRNA from 1 species